UGGUGGACUAGGCCGGGCAGUUAGGCCCUGCUCGUCACCCGUGAAAUAGGUCUUCAGCGGGGGCCGAACCCGGAGGCGUCCGGUCAGACCGACACGGGCCCCGGGAGCCGACGUGGAAGCCUCGUCCGUCGGGGGCAGCGGCCCACGGGCCCCAUCCGCAGGGGUGGUCGUCCGUGGUUCGUCGGUGAAAUCGGGUCAGGCACGGAAGUGAGCAGCCCAUCACCGGACGUGCGCCGCUCGACGGGGUGCGGGGUGGAGGAGGCAACCGGGACUACCCGUGUCGGAACGCCGGGCAAUCCCGUCGUCCACCA
rnacentral:SRP_RNA from 1 species